UACAGAGGGGGCAAGCGUUGUCCGGAAUUACUGGGCUUAAAGGGCGCGUAGGCGGCCUGCUAAGUCGGACGUGAAAUCCCUGGGCUCAACCCAGGAACUGCGUCCGAUACUGGUUGGCUUGAAUCCGGGAGAGGGACGUGGAAUUCCAGGUGUAGCGGUGAAAUGCGUAGAUAUCUGGAGGAACACCGGUGGCGAAGGCGACGUCCUGGACCGGCAUUGACGCUGAGGCGCGAAAGCCAGGGGAGCAAACGGG
rnacentral:rRNA from 1 species